rnacentral:rRNA from 1 species
AGGACGAACGCUGGCGGCGUGCCUAAUACAUGCAAGUCGAACGCUUCUUUUUCCACCGGAGCUUGCUCCACCGGAAAAAGAGGAGUGGCGAACGGGUGAGUAACACGUGGGUAACCUGCCCAUCAGAAGGGGAUAACACUUGGAAACAGGUGCUAAUACCGUAUAACAAUCGAAACCGCAUGGUUUUGAUUUGAAAGGCGCUUUCGGGUGUCGCUGAUGGAUGGACCCGCGGUGCAUUAGCUAGUUGGUGAGGUAACGGCUCACCAAGGCCACGAUGCAUAGCCGACCUGAGAGGGUGAUCGGCCACAUUGGGACUGAGACACGGCCCAAACUCCUACGGGAGGCAGCAGUAGGGAAUCUUCGGCAAUGGACGAAAGUCUGACCGAGCAACGCCGCGUGAGUGAAGAAGGUUUUCGGAUCGUAAAACUCUGUUGUUAGAGAAGAACAAGGAUGAGAGUAACUGUUCAUCCCUUGACGGUAUCUAACCAGAAAGCCACGGCUAACUACGUGCCAGCAGCCGCGGUAAUACGUAGGUGGCAAGCGUUGUCCGGAUUUAUUGGGCGUAAAGCGAGCGCAGGCGG